CAGCCAGGAGAGCAGAGGAGCAGUGUGUGUGUGAGCCUGUCCCACCCUGUGCCUGGGCAGGGGCUCAUGCACACUGCAAGGGACACAUCUCCAGGGACAUGUUGAGGUCAGGAGGGACCUUUUUGCCUUUGGAUCCUUAAUGACUGAUAAGGAAUGUGUAGCCUCAUACUGAAGAUCCCUGGGUAAAAUAACACCUCUCAGGAAUGCUGGCAUGGGACAAGGAGAAAUGCCACAACAUUAAUUCUCUGGUGCAAGCUUCUCACUGUGACACUUUUGCUAAGAUGUGGCUGAACACUGGAUCCUGGAGAUGCAUUUGUCAGAGAAAGAAAUAUGAGCAGCAGGUUCUGGAUGAGGAGGUGACAUUAAGGAUGCCCUUUCCAUCACAUGCCAAAGCAGCUGAAAAUCUUCCAUUACCAAACAGGUGAGUGAGGUGGACAGGCUCUGAUGGCAGUGGAAGAAGGGAAAGGCAAAAGGAGCUGGAUAAUGGCAUGGAAGGAGAAGAAAUGAAAACAGCAUUAUGAAAUAAAAUUAGCUUGAUUAAUUGGCUUGUUUCUCUGUUGACUGUACCUGCAAAGAAAGCAGUGAGGCUACACUAUACAUUUGCUUUAAUUUGCACAACUAGCUUUUUUUUCCUCUAAGUGAAUGUUGUGAUUACAUAGAAAACAUCUACAAUCUUUCUUCAUGAAACAAGAAAGACAUCAGAACUUUAAAACCAAAUUGUACAAGGCAUUUUCAAGUGCAGAAAAAGAUUGCAGUAUUGAUACCAGAUGUUUUGUAUUGGUAAUUUCCAUAUUUCUUAUUUACAUUGUAAGAGGGUUCACAAAAUUUGCUUUCAGUUUUCAGAGGAUACACAUUAAGAAUAGUAAAACUUGGGUUUCUUGUGGGUGUUCUACAUGUGUCCCAAUAAUAUAAUAUGGACCUUCAAUAAAGCUGUGCUGUAAUUCCUAGAAGAACAUGUAGGACUAGAAUAAUCUAUCUAAAGAUGGCUUUAGGAAGAACACACCUUGUUUGAAAUGAUUAGUUUAGACUGAAAAUUACAGGAAGCUGUAAGAAUUCUAAAAAUCUCUGCAAAAUAAAACACUCAGUAAGUGUGAUAUGAGUUUAGAAUCCUAAGAAAUAUGAUAAUUUUCCAAGUACAGCUAUUAUAUUUUAAUGUAUCUAUAACUGUGGUUGAUAUUUCAAUAAUAUUAUAUUGUUCAAAAUAUAUUCUCCAAAAUAAAAAUGCUGUUUUUCUCAUUCA